rnacentral:lncRNA from 1 species
CCUCUCGGCCGCGUCUUCUCUCUCUCCCCGACCUCUCUUUCUCGCACACUCUCUCUUCUUCUCUCUGCAACCACCGGAAAACACCAUUUCCGGCCACCAUCUCACCACACCGCCACCACCAAUCAACGCAGCUUCUGAAUCCGACCCAAACCCAAGAAAAAUCUGAACCAUGCAUCAACCUCUCACUCUUCUUCUUUCCUCUGCCACCACCGGAGACUCCAGCUCCAGCCACCAUCUUGCAACACCGCCGCCACCCUUCAAACUAGCACCCAAAUCCAACCAAAACCUAGCCAUUCCGCUGUCGAUCGAAAGAUCCUAACCACCGCAUGCAUGCCCGGAAACCUACGACGCCAUGCCAUCCGCGUUCACUGGUCUUCGAACCUUUUCCAUAACCACUGCCGCCACCAACGGGUUCAGGGCAGGCUGUUCAUCAACACUCCAAAGCCUCGUCGCCGACUCGACGCCGGAGAACUCCAUAUACGCCUUCGCCGGCGAUCUGGGCUUCUACAAGGCUAGGGUUACGACCUCUGACCACGAUUGAGUGAAGCCAUCACCUUGAAGAAGCUUAGGACUGCACGAAUCACCUUAACCCCUUAAUCCCGACUUCUGAUUCUGACCAGAACCACCGUAAGCGCUUCACGUGCCGCCGAUGGCGCGUGAGAUACUCCAGCUCCGCCGUGAUCUUCACCGGCGUA